rnacentral:rRNA from 1 species
GAAGGGGGCUAGCGUUGUUCGGAAUUACUGGGCGUAAAGCGCACGUAGGCGGACAUUUAAGUCAGGGGUGAAAUCCCGGGGCUCAACCCCGGAACGGCCUUUGAUACUGGGUGUCUUGAGUGUGGAAGAGGUGAGUGGAAUUCCGAGUGUAGAGGUGAAAUUCGUAGAUAUUCGGAGGAACACCAGUGGCGAAGGCGGCUCACUGGUCCACAACUGACGCUGAGGUGCGAAACCGUGGGGAGCAAACAGGAUUAGAUACCCUGGUAGUCCACGCCGUAAACGAUGGAAGCUAGCCGUUGGCCAGUUUACUGGUCGGUGGCGCAGUAACGCAUUAAGCUUCCCGCCUGGGGAGUACGGUCGCAAGAUUA